GACGAACGCUGGCGGCGUGCUUAACACAUGCAAGUCGAACGGAAAGGCCCUGCUUUUGUGGGGUGCUCGAGUGGCGAACGGGUGAGUAACACGUGAGUAACCUGCCCUUGACUUUGGGAUAACUUCAGGAAACUGGGGCUAAUACCGGAUAGGAGCUCCUGCUGCAUGGUGGGGGUUGGAAAGUUUCGGCGGUUGGGGAUGGACUCGCGGCUUAUCAGCUUGUUGGUGGGGUAGUGGCUUACCAAGGCUUGGACGGGUAGCCGGCCUGAGAGGGUGACCGGCCACAUUGGGACUGAGAUACGGCCCAGACUCCUACGGGAGGCAGCAGUGGGGAAUAUUGCACAAUGGGCGGAAGCCUGAUGCAGCAACGCCGCGUGCGGGAUGACGGCCUUCGGGGUGUAAACCGCUUUCGCCUGUGACGAAGCGUGAGUGACGGUAAUGGGUAAAGAAGCACCGGCUAACUACGUG
rnacentral:rRNA from 1 species